CAACUGAAGAGAGAAAGACAUGAACAUCUUGGAUGACAUGGGGGUGAGUAAAUUAUCAGGAAAAGUUUAUUUGAAAGUGGACUAAUCCUUUAAGGGCCGAUUGGCUGUUAGCUGGGAUGUCACGUCCGUUUUCCCCCUUUGUUUGCCUGUAUUGACGGUGGCUGUAGGUGUAAAGUGUGCUACGUUUUAAUAGGCGGUGAUUUGGAAAUUGUUGGGGUGUGCAUAACUUGAAAUCGUUUUUGUUAAUCAGAGUGCAGCUUUAUGUUCUGGUUCUGAUGCCCUUUCAUGCUGAUUUGAUGACUGUUCGUCUCUCAGGCAUGAUUUCCUGUAUCCCAUUGUGCUAUCGGUGGGCAUGACUGUGACAAACCCGUGCCUAUAAAGCAUUCUAUCAGGCGUGAUAUCCUGAUGGAGCUGGACUCAAACGGGUGGACUGAUCUUCCUCCUUGUGGUGGUGGUUCUUUUUUAUCGUGUGUGGUGUACACUUUGAGUGUUUGAUAGUGUGAUCAAAGUGCACAGGUGUGUGUGCACAUGAAAGUGUGCCGUUGUAACACCAAACUCUACAUUGAUUCCUGCAGUUGGGAGCCUCAGCCCUGCCGGUAUAAUUCAGUUUUUGUUUUACAUGUAUACAUAAUUGCUACAUACUAAGUUGGUUUGUUUUAUUACCUUUUUCCUUUUGUAAUUUGUUUUCUUUUGUUUGAAGUGGGGUUUCCAGUGUUUCUUGUUGAUUUUUAGUGUCCAGUAUUUUAAACUACUCCUGUAUUAAUAAACAUUUGUAUUUUUUAUACUUUA